rnacentral:rRNA from 1 species
UACGUAGGGACCAAGCGUUGUCCGGAUUUACUGGGCGUAAAGGAUGCGUAGGCGGACAUUUAAGUCAGAUGUGAAAUACCCCGAGCUUAACUUGGGUGCUGCAUUUGAAACUGGGUGUCUAGAGUGCAGGAGAGGUAAGUGGAAUUCCUAGUGUAGCGGUGAAAUGCGUAGAGAUUAGGAAGAACACCAGUGGCGAAGGCGACUUACUGGACUGUAACUGACGCUGAGGCAUGAAAGCGUGAGGAGCAAACAGG